rnacentral:rRNA from 1 species
AUUGAACGCUGGCGGCAUGCUUUACACAUGCAAGUCGAACGGCGGCGCGGGCUUCGGCCUGGCGGCGAGUGGCGAACGGGUGAGUAAUGCAUCGGAACGUGCCCAGUAGUGGGGGAUAGCCCGGCGAAAGCCGGAUUAAUACCGCAUACGACCUGAGGGUGCAAGCGGGGGACCGAAAGGCCUCGCGCUAUUGGAGCGGCCGAUGUCGGAUUAGCUAGUUGGUGGGGUAAAGGCUUACCAAGGCGACGAUCCGUAGCUGGUCUGAGAGGACGACCAGCCACACGGGGACUGAGACACGGCCCAGACUCCUACGGGAGGCAGCAGUGGGGAAUUUUGGACAAUGGGGGCAACCCUGAUCCAGCCAUGCCGCGUGCGGGAAGAAGGCCUUCGGGUUGUAAACCGCUUUUGUUCGGGAAGAAAUCCUCUGGGCUAAUACCCCGGGGGGAUGACGGUACCGGAAGAAUAAGCACCGGCUAACUACGUG